AAAGGAAAUUGACAUACAAGUCCAGAAAGCACUGAGAAUCCCAAACAAGAUGGACCCAGAGAGGACUAUACCAAGAUAUGACAUAAUUAAAAUGCCAAAGGUUAAAGAUAAAGAAAGAAUCUUAAAAGCAGCAAGAGAAAAGCAGAGGGUUACCUACAAAGGAGUUCCCAUCAGACUGU